UAGGGUUCGAUUAUGGCUCAGAUUGAACGCUGGCGGUAGGCUUAACACAUGCAAGUCGUGCGAGAAAGUAUCUUCGGAUAUGAGUAGAGCGGCGGACGGGUGAGUAACGCGUAGGAAUCUACCUAGUAGAAGGGGAUAGCCCGAGGAAACUCGGAUUAAUACCGUAUACCUCCUUCGGGAGAAAGAAGGCCUCUCUUUGAAGCUUUCGCUACUAGAUGAGCCUGCGUAAGAUUAGCUUGUUGGUGAGGUAAAGGCUCACCAAGGCGACGAUCUUUAGCGGGUCUGAGAGGACGAUCCGCCACAUUGGGACUGAGACACGGCCCAGACUCCUACGGGAGGCAGCAGUGGGGAAUAUUGGACAAUGGGCGCAAGCCUGAUCCAGCCAUACCGCGUGUGUGAAGAAGGCCCUAGGGUUGUAAAGCACUUUAAGUUGGGAAGAAAAGUUAUUGGUUAAUACCCAAUGACCGUGACAUUACCAUCAGAAUAAGGACCGGCUAAUUCCGUGCCAGCAGCCGCGGUAAUUCA
rnacentral:rRNA from 1 species